UACGUAGGGCGCAAGCGUUGUCCGGAAUCAUUGGGCGUAAAGAGCUCGUAGGCGGCCUGUUGCGUCCGCUGUGAAAUCCCGGGGCUUAACCCCGGGCGUGCAGUGGAUACGGGCUGGCUGGAGGCAGGCAGGGGAGAACGGAAUUCCUGGUGUAGCGGUGAAAUGCGCAGAUAUCAGGAGGAACACCGGUGGCGAAGGCGGGUCUCUGGGCCGAUACUGACGCUGAGGAGCGAAAGCGUGGGGAGCGAACAGG
rnacentral:rRNA from 1 species